AGAGUUUGAUCAUGGCUCAGGACGAACGCUGGCGGCGUGCUUAACACAUGCAAGUCGAACGGAAAGGCCCUUCGGGGUACUCGAGUGGCGAACGGGUGAGUAACACGUGGGUGAUCUGCCCUGCACUCUGGGAUAAGCCUGGGAAACUGGGUCUAAUACCGGAUAGGACCGCAUGCUUCAUGGUGUGUGGUGCAAAGCUUUUGCGGUGUGGGAUGAGCCCGCGGCCUAUCAGCUUGUUGGUGGGGUAAUGGCCUACCAAGGCGACGACGGGUAGCCGGCCUGAGAGGGUGACCGGCCACACUGGGACUGAGAUACGGCCCAGACUCCUACGGGAGGCAGCAGUGGGGAAUAUUGCACAAUGGGCGCAAGCCUGAUGCAGCGACGCCGCGUGAGGGAUGACGGCCUUCGGGUUGUAAACCUCUUUCACCAGGGACGAAGCGCAAGUGACGGUACCUGGAGAAGAAGCACCGGCCAACUACGUGCCAGCAGCCGCGGUAAUACGUAGGGUGCGAGCGUUGUCCGGAAUUACUGGGCGUAAAGAGCUCGUAGGUGGUUUGUCGCGUUGUUCGUGAAAACUCACAGCUUAACUGUGGGCGUGCGGGCGAUACGGGCAGACUAGAGUACUGCAGGGGAGACUGGAAUUCCUGGUGUAGCGGUGGAAUGCGCAGAUAUCAGGAGGAACACCGGUGGCGAAGGCGGGUCUCUGGGCAGUAACUGACGCUGAGGAGCGAAAGCGUGGGGAGCGAACAGGAUUAGAUACCCUGGUAGUCCAA
rnacentral:rRNA from 1 species